ensembl:lncRNA
GGAAGGCGCUCGGGGCAGCGGAGGCGGCCGACUCGGCCUCCGGGAGGGAUCCCCGGGGGAGGUUCGAGGCAAACGUUGUUCACAGAUAACGAAGUUUAUUUUGGCCGCCUUUACACCGCAAGCACCGAUCCCCGUAGCCAAGCUGUGUGCGUUCCGUGUCGCGGCACGGCGCCGUGCAGCCCGCAGCUCACACACCCCUCUUCACGCCAGCAGCCCUACGCUGCUCCCUGAGAGAAGCGCAAACCCGAAGGCCAAAGCUGAAGUGCGGCUGUGUGCUGCGCGUUACCUCAGAGGCGUCGUUGUCCUGAGAGGAUAAUUCAGCAGUUGAAGAAAUGUGUCCAAAAGUCGACCAAAUUGUGCACUGAAGGCCUGUAGAAGUUACCUGCUUUCAAAACUUUGCACUGUUUUUCCUAACAAGGUACGCCAGGCACAGCAUCACUGUGUUUGCUGCCUGGCUGUAGGUGUGCUAUUCAGUUUCGUUCCCUCAUCAUCCUGUGGGCACCGGUGAUUGAAAAAAGGAGAUAAAACACUGAGAUGGAGCACUGUGGUGCUUUUAGCAGCGCAGUGUCCAAAUCAGGCGUUGCUCGAGAGCUUGCAAAACUCCACCAGUAAAAGGUAUACUGCACUGAGAGGAAA